GUACACUCCUACGGGAGGCAGCAGUGGGGAAUUUUGGACAAUGGGCGAAAGCCUGAUCCAGCAAUGCCGCGUGAGUGAAGAAGGCCUUCGGGUUGUAAAGCUCUUUUGUCAGGGAAGAAACGGUGAGAGCUAAUAUCUUUUGCUAAUGACGGUACCUGAAGAAUAAGCACCGGCUAACUACGUGCCAGCAGCCGCGGUAAUACGUAGGGUGCAAGCGUUAAUCGGAAUUACUGGGCGUAAAGCGUGCGCAGGCGGUUUUGUAAGUCUGAUGUGAAAUCCCCGGGCUCAACCUGGGAAUUGCAUUGGAGACUGCAAGGCUAGAAUCUGGCAGAGGGGGGUAGAAUUCCACGUGUAGCAGUGAAAUGCGUAGAUAUGUGGAGGAACACCGAUGGCGAAGGCAGCCCCCUGGGUCAAGAUUGACGCUCAUGCACGAAAGCUUGGGGAGCAAACAGGAUUAGAUACCCCGGUAGUCCC
rnacentral:rRNA from 1 species